rnacentral:misc_RNA from 1 species
GCAAACUUGGUCAUUUAGAGGAAGUAAAAGUCGUAACAAGGUUUCCGUAGGUGAACCUGCGGAAGGAUCAUUACCGAGCAAGGGUGCCUGGGUCCUCCCCGGCCGCCCGACCUCCCAACCCUUUGUCUACUACACCAAAACGUUGCUUCGGCAGGCCCGCUGACCCCUCCCUCGCGGAGGGCGACGCCGCCGGGGACCUUUGCUGGUUCCGGGCCCGCGCCUGUCGAUGGCCCCUCUAAAACUCUUGUCGAAACGUGUCGUCUGAGUACUUAUAACAAAUGAAAAACCAAAACUUUCAACAACGGAUCUCUUGGUUCUGGCAUCGAUGAAGAACGCAGC